ACUUAUAUAGUAUAUUAAUUACAUUUAACUUCCAAUUAAAAAAAUUAUUUUUAACAAAUAAUAUAAGUA